GCAUUUGUUAUCUAACAAAAUGAAUUUUAUUUACUUGAUCGAUUCAAGUAGAUCACGAUUCAAAUGGUUUUGGCAGGUGAAGGUCAGAGCCCAGUUCUGUGCCUUGGAACAGAGCAAGUGGCGUUGCUUUGGGGCGAACACGGGGUCACUGAAACGCCUGGGGUUACGGGGCUGGAAGAUCCUCCGUGCCUUGUGCCGUUCCCAAUCCGCAAACCUCACGGAUUCUUUAGCGUCUUUGCUCCGUGACGCUUCAGAAAUGCAGCGGUCCGGCUUCGCAGGGGGUGCUCGCAGCCAGCAGCGGAUGGACCGUGUCUCCGCUGACUUGUGGCAGUGCAAAUUCGGCGGCACCGGGGGAAAUGCCCCGGGAGAUCUGCGCCCUGGGGCAACAGGGUCCCCCGGCCAGCGAGAGACGCUCGGCAGGAAGGAAUGAGUGGUGAGAUGCUUCUCUCGCAUCUUGCCGCAAGCAAAGUGUUUCAAAAGUCAGCAGCGUCCAGACAUCUGGAGCCUUCUGUCUCCGGCAUCUACCUGUGCGGGACAGGCUGGCCGGGGAGCUGCCACCGCCCGGCCGGCGGGAGGGCCGGCGCUGCCUGUCGCUGCUCCCCAUCGCAUCAGCCCCGCCGCCCCUCUGCCCCGUUCCCCGGCCCG
rnacentral:lncRNA from 1 species